AACGAACGCUGGCGGCAGGCCUAACACAUGCAAGUCGAACGGGCACCUUCGGGUGUCAGUGGCAGACGGGUGAGUAACACGUGGGAACGUGCCCUUUGGUUCGGGACAACUCCGGGAAACUGGAGCUAAUACCGGAUACGCCCUUUUGGGGAAAGAUUUAUCGCCGAAGGAUCGGCCCGCGUCUGAUUAGCUAGUUGGUGAGGUAACGGCUCACCAAGGCGACGAUCAGUAGCUGGUCUGAGAGGAUGAUCAGCCACACUGGGACUGAGACACGGCCCAGACUCCUACGGGAGGCAGCAGUGGGGAAUAUUGGACAAUGGGGGCAACCCUGAUCUAGCCAUGCCGCGUGAGUGAUGAAGGCCCUAGGGUUGUAAAGCUCUUUCAGCUGGGAAGAUAAUGACGGUACCAGCAGAAGAAGCCCCGGCUAACUCCGUGCCAGCCGCCGCAGUAAUA
rnacentral:rRNA from 1 species